rnacentral:rRNA from 1 species
CACGUAGGGUGCGAGCGUUGUCCGGAAUUCUUGGGCGUAAAGAGCUCGUCGGCGGUUUGUCGCGUCGGCCGUGAAAACCUGCAGCUUAACUGUGGGCUUGCGGUCGAUACGGGCAUCACUGGAGUUCGGCAGGGGAGACUGGAAUUCCUGGUGUAGCGGUGAAAUGCGCAGAUAUCAGGAGGAACACCGGUGGCGAAGGCGGGUCUCUGGGCCGAGACUGACGCUGAGGAGCGAAAGCGUGGGGAGCGAACAGG